AAGGAAAGGAAGGAAAACCUACAAUCGUUUUGGAAGUCUUUGCGUCCAAAAACACGUAUAUUUGGCAUGCGUUCUUUGGUUGCCCAGGCAGUUGCAAUGAUAUCAAUGUGCUCGAUCGUUCGCCGUUAAUGAAUGACAUCAUAGAGAACAAAAUGCUGGAUGGCCAAUGGACACUAAACGGAAACACCUACAAUAGAGGAUACCUUUUAGCUGAUGGCAUCUAUCCCGAUUGGCCUAUAUUCAUGAAAACCAUAUCCCAUCCGCAAACACCAAAGACCAAAUUGUAUGCCAAAUGCCAAGAAUCACUACGUAAAGAUGUGGAACGCUGUUUUGGAAUUCUCCAAGCUUGUUGGCAAAUACUGGUCAAUCCUUGCCGACUCUUUGAUGAAGCCAGCAUGAAGGACAUAAUAAUGACUUGUGUAAUAUUGCACAACAUGAGACUUCAUUUCAAACACAGCAACCCAGAGCUGCAAAACCAGGUCGAAAAUGUGCAUCCUGAUUUACCUUCUUCGGAAACAGCUGGUUUCAGUCGGGCGUCGCAGCGUACGUUUGAUGAAAUGUGUGAAGAUCGCAUUCACAUUAGAAGCAGUCAACAGUAUCAUGAAUUACGAAACGUGUUAAUCGAUCACUUAUGGAUGACUAAGGGUAAUCUUAUUGAUUGAAAAGUAAGGUACAUGUCAAUAAAUAAAACUAAUAAGAAAAAGAUGUUCUACGUAAAACAUGUUCAA
rnacentral:lncRNA from 1 species